rnacentral:rRNA from 1 species
UGGUGGAGUGAUUCGUCUGGUUAAUUCCGUUAACGAACGAGACCUCGACCUGCUAAAUAGUCGGGCGUACCUUCGGGUACGUUUCUGUACUUCUUAGAGGGACUGUCGGUUUAUAGCCGAAGGAAGUUCGAGGCAAUAACA